UACGGGGGGGGCAAGCGUUGUUCGGAAUUACUGGGCGUAAAGGGCUCGUAGGCGGCCAACUAAGUCAGACGUGAAAUCCCUCGGCUUAACCGGGGAACUGCAUCUGAUACUGGAUGGCUUGAGUUCGGGAGAGGGAUGUGGAAUUCCAGGUGUAGCGGUGAAAUGCGUAGAUAUCUGGAGGGACACCGGUGGCGAAGGCGGCAUCCUGGACCGACACUGACGCUGAUGAGCGAAAGCCAGGGGAGCAAACGGG
rnacentral:rRNA from 1 species